rnacentral:rRNA from 1 species
AUACAGAGGGUGCAAGCGUUAAUCGGAUUUACUGGGCGUAAAGCGCGCGUAGGCGGCUAAUUAAGUCAAAUGUGAAAUCCCCGAGCUUAACUUGGGAAUUGCAUUCGAUACUGGUUAGCUAGAGUGUGGGAGAGGAUGGUAGAAUUCCAGGUGUAGCGGUGAAAUGCGUAGAGAUCUGGAGGGAUACCGAUGGCGAAGGCAGCCAUCUGGCCUAACACUGACGCUGAGGUGCGAAAGCAUGGGGAGCAAACAGGAUUAGAUACCCUAGUAGUCC